GGAUGAACCAAACGCGGUGUUAAGGUGCCAAACUUCCCGCUCAUGAGACCCCAUAAAAGGUGUUGGUUGAUAUAGACAGCAGGACGGUGGCCAUGGAAGUCGGAAACCGCUAAGGAAUGUGUAACAACUCACCUGCCGAAUCAACUAGCCCUGAAAAUGGAUGGCGCUUGAGCGGGAGACCUAUACUCCGCCGUUAGUGACUUGAGCGCUGAAAGGCGUCGCCUGGUCCUAACGAGUAGGUGGGUCGUAACAGUGGCGUUGAAGGCUUUGGGUGUGGACCCAGCUGGAGCCGCUGUUAGUGCAGAUCUUGGUGGUAGUAGCAAAUAUUCAAGUGAGAUCCUUGAAGACUGAAGUGGAGAAGGGUUCCACGUGAACAGCAGUUGGAUGUGGCUCAGUCGGUCCUAAGCCAACGGCUAAUGCCGUCAAACAUUGAGGGAGGAAUGGUCAAACAUUCCGCUCGAUUGGCGAAAGGGAAGCAGGUUAAUAUUCCUGCACCAGGACACGGAGAUGGCUGGAUCGCUUCACGGCGGUUCAGUUAAGCGCGGUAACGCAAAUGAACAUGUCAACCUUGGCCAGGGUCCGAGUCAGAGUUCUCUUUUCUGAUUUAGACGUCGAAUCCGUGGAAACGGUUUAGCCGGAGAUACGGAUGAUGGCGUCGUAAAGCACCGCGGUUCCUGUGGUGUCUCGUGCGCUCUGGUCGAGCCUUGAAAAGGCAUGGGAAGCUUAGUAAAUUUCGUGCCUGGCCGUACCGAUAUCCGCAGCAGGUCUCCAAGGUGAACAGCCUCUAGUCGAUAGAAUAAUGUAGGUAAGGGAAGUCGGCAAAUUAGAUCCGUAACUUCGGGAAAAGGAUUGGCUCUAAAGGUUGGGCUGGUCGGGCUUUGGUGUGAAGCGCGGAGGUUCGGCGCGUGGCUGCACGAGGCUUCGGCCGAGUGCGGACUAGUCGUUGGACUACUGCGUGGAGCGCCUUAGCUGCGUGCGUAGUUUCGGCUGCGUACUUCGGCCAGCGUGAAACAACCCACUUAGAACUGGCACGGACUCGGGGAAUCCGACUGUCUAAUUAAAACAGAGGAGAUGGAUGGUCCUUGUGGACGUUGACCAUCUCUGAUUUCUGCCCAGUGCUCUGAAUGUUAAUUUAAGGAAACUUAAUUAAGCGCGGGUAAACGGCGGGAGUAACUAUGACUCUCUUAAGGUAGCCAAAUGCCUCGCCAUCUAAUUAGUGGCGCGCAUGAAUGGAUUAACGAGAUUCCCACUGUCCCUAUCUACUAUCUAGCGAAACCACAGCCAAGGGAACGGGCUUGGCAAAAACAGCGGGGAAAGAAGACCCUGUUGAGCUUGACUCUAGUCUGACUCUGUGAAGAAUCAUGAGAGGUGUAGCAUAAGUGGGAGGUUUCGGCCGACAGUGAAAUACCACUACUUUCAUCGAUUCCUUACUUAUUCGGUAAAACGGGAAUUGGCUUUUAACGAGCCUUGAUUUUGGUGUUAAGGUUGGACACUCGGUGUCUGAUCGACCCGCGCCGACGACCGUGUCAGGCGGGGAGUUUGACUGGGGCGGUACAUCUGUCAAAUCGUAACGCAGGUGUCCUAAGGCUAGCUCAGAGAGGACAGAAACCUCUCGUAGAGUAAAAGGGCAAAAGCUUGCUUGAUCUUGAUUUUCAGUACGAAUACAGACCGCGAAAGCGUGGCCUAUCGAUCCUUUUGAUUAAUAAAGUUUCUUGCAAGAGGUGUCAGAAAAGUUACCACAGGGAUAACUGGCUUGUGGCAGCCAAGCGUCCAUAGC
rnacentral:rRNA from 2 species